AUGGGCGGUGAUGCAGCUGGACGUCGGAAACCUACCCCGCCUCCCUCAUCUGAAAGCGCUGGUGUUGCAUCAUAUCUGACAUCCACCUUUUCUGCCGCUUCUGUGCGCACCACCACCACAGCCCUCCCUUCGUCAGUUCCUUCGUCAGCAACCUGUGAGGCUUCUCCUACACACCUACCAUGGAGGCCCCAGAUCGUGUCCCCGCCAGGCACGGCUUAUGGAUCCACGACAUUAAUCACUUGGUUGGUACCGGUGGACAACCAAAAGGUUCCCUGGAAUUGCCGAGGAGAUUCAAUCAGUCAAGCGCUUUCAGCAGAACCACUGAAGUUUUAUGCUAUGGUGUGA
rnacentral:rRNA from 1 species